UUGGAGGGCAAGUCUGGUGCCUGCAGCCGCGGUAAUUCCAGCUCCAAUAGCGUAUAUUAAAGUUGUUGCAGUUAAAAAGCUCGUAGUUGAAUUUCGAGAUCAAUAUGUCGGUCGUGCCUUCGGUACGUACUGGUAUCAUUGGUUUCUCCUUUCUGACGAACCAUGAUGUCAUUAAUUUGGUGUUAUGGGGAGUUAGGACUGUUACUUUGAAAAAAUUAGAGUGUUUAAAGCAGGCUUUAGCUUGAAUACAUUAGCAUGGAAUAAUGAAAUAGGACGUUCGAACCUAUUUUGUUGGUUUCUAGGAUCAACGUAAUGAUUAAUAGGGAUAGUUGGGGGCAUUAGUAUUCAAUUGUCAGAGGUGAAAUCCUUGGAUUUAUUGAAGACUAACUACUGCGAAAGCAUUUGCCAAGGAUGUUUUCAUUAAUCAAGAACGAAAGUUAGGGGAUCGAAGACGAUCAGAUACCGUCGUAGUCUUAACCAUAAACUAUGCCGACUAGGGAUCGGAUGAUGUUGAUUUUUUAAUGACUCAUUCGGCGCCUUACGGGAAAC
rnacentral:rRNA from 1 species